UGGGGAAUCUUGCGCAAUGCGCGAAAGCGUGACGCAGCAACGCCGCGUGGGGGAAGACGGCCUUCGGGUUGUAAACCCCUUUCAGGAGGGACGAAGGUUCGGCGGUGAAUAGCCGUCCGGACUGACGGUACCUCCAGAAGAAGCUCCGGCUAACUACGUGCCAGCAGCCGCGGUAAUACGUAGGGAGCUAGCGUUGUCCGGAAUCAUUGGGCGUAAAGCGCGCGUAGGCGGCCCGAUAAGUCCGCUCUGAAAGUCCAGGGCUCAACACUGGAAAGCGGGUGGAUACUGUCGGGCUGGA
rnacentral:rRNA from 1 species